CGUUCCCUGAAGUGUUCGCCAGUCGUUAUAGUCCCUCGAGCCUAUGCGCAUUACUAGGGGGCCAAGUACUAGACGGGUCUGUGUGCAUGUCCGUGCGACGGAAAGCCUGAUGACUCGUCUGCGGCCACCCACCUUGAACCUUUAGGUUCAGGGCCAGAACGACAGCGGCACUUUGGGGAACCU
rnacentral:other from 2 species